GUUUGUUCUUUGUUUGACUCCACACUUGAGUUAGGGGUGGUUUCAGUACUUGGCUCUCCACUUAUCUCCCAUGUGGCCUGUUCACACUCUUGUACUCCAGUGUUCCCAGUUUUCUCCACGCCUUCCUCUUUGUAUGGGUCUCUACUGUAUUCCACAGGGAUCUUGCUGCUUGGUUGCAUGUUGAGAUCACUGCUUUGCUCCACACUCGUUUCCUCAAGCACAGGGGGAACAGGUGUGCCUGCAAAUAAAAGGAGUUCACAUGGAUGAAGAGAAUUGUGGGGAAAACCCCAGGUACUUCUAGGAUUGUCUAAACAUGUGCAUAGUUGCUUUUGUGGAUCAGAGAUCCCAAGCAGGAAUUGCAGAAGGGAGAUAAAUCUGAGAAUAAAUCCACUCCGGAAUGUGAAUAUCAAUUCAAAUUUAUGAAGAUUGUUUUGCCAGUGUUUGACUCACCUUGUGCCUUUAGCAGGUUGACCAGAAUCAGAGCCAGUGCUGCUGAAAAGAUUGCCAUCUUCUUCAGCAGGAUUACCUAAAUGUCACACUAAGCACCAGUGUUUGGAGCAAAAGCUAGAGUACUUCACCAAGAGAAACCCCUGGCUAUUUAAAGGCAAUCCUUUACCUCCAUGUGCUUUGAUAUCUCCCUGAAAAUACCAAGUUGGAAUUAAAAAAAUGCGAAUUACAUUCCUAAAAUGAGUUUAGUGCUUGUCAGGAACUGUAAUUGGUCAAUUCCUGGCCCUUGCUACAGGAAAAGAUAACCUUUUCUGUAAGCAGUUUAGCAUGCUAUGGGCUGAGAGGUGGGGUGGUAGUAGUCAGGGCCCCAGGUGGCUGUGACACUCAUAAAGCUGUCAUCGCGUGCUCCUGGCAGGGCUAAUUUCUCAAGGCAGUUCAUCCUGAUGGUUUAGAAUGAAGACCUCCAAAAAUCCUUUGAUUGUGACACUUAAGAAAUCAAAUGUGCCUCACACUAACAGGUGAAAGGUAGAGGGUGACUAAAAGUGUGCAGCUGGCUUCUUUGUGUAAGGAAGCAGUGGUGCUAAAGAACAGUGAAGUUUUGGAAAAGUCUGGGUGAGCAUCUCAUUGGAACACCUUCCUUUUUCAUUGUGCAUUUCUGCUUUGCGUUUCCAGUCUGUAGUAUCUCAGGGGUUAUCUCAGCCCCAUUGUAAUGCAUUUUGAAUGUUUGGACUUUAUGAGACAAAUCCCCAGAGAGAAGACAGUUUUUUUUUGUGUGGUUUGCUCCAAUUUUAUGGAAGAGCCAUUUCUGAUACAGAAAAAAAAUACUGUUUAUGUGUACACAGGUUCCCAUGACCUUCCUGAUCCCUCCUCACCACUACCCGGUUGUGGCAAGACACUCAGCAACUGGCAGGUGUAGCAAGAAUUACAACAUAAAAUUCUAGACAUUUUCAGCAACUCUGUAGAACAAGUGAAUCUGAAGAAAAACUACUUGCAGCAUUGGCUUCUGGAGGGCUCCAGCUUAGCAGCCUUUCUGGUUCAUGGAUGACAGGGGAGUACUGGAGUCCCUGUGAAGGCAGAUCUCCAGCUUUUCGUUGUCCAGAUUCCUUGCUCAAAGCCAGUGACAAACAAGGAGAGAGGAGUCUCUAGGCAGUGGAGAGGACAUUGUAGCCACAGACUCAUUGGGACCAGGAGAAGAGAAGAUAAGCGUGGGAAAUUAGGAAAUCUCGACUUGGUAUGGUCAGAAGUAAGAGCUACCAGCAUUGAAGACGAUUGAGUAUAAAGGAUUGCCUUGAUUCCUCUCAUAAGAUGCUCCUUGGAAAGACUUCAGAACAAGCUGUUUUGACCAAGAGAGAGCAUGAGUUGCUGAAGUCUCCCACUGAAAACAACCUCAUCUGGCUCAUGUUUCACUCAAAGGCCAAAUUCCUACUUAUGUACUUAACUUACCUUGCAGAUCAUACCUUGUGCCAAGACCCAUUAAGAUACAAAAGUUAUCAUAUCUCCCUAUGAAGAAGAUUCAGGUUCCUAAGUGUUUUUGGUGCUGCAUUUGGGCCACCCUGAAUUUUGGAACUGGCACAGAUAUUCUAUAUGACCUUGGGAAGUUGAAUGAGGAUGAUUCUGCCCUGGUAGUCAAUGGGCUGCAUUCUUCAAAGAGAGGAGGACUAGAACUGCAUCCUUCCUAUCUCUUUGCUUGUAAAAAGAGACAAACAGUUCACCUCCUUGGGGUGCAGCAAAGCUAAAUCACCUGAUAUUUGCAAAUAUUGUGACAAAAUGUGAGCUUCUGUUUGCAUCUGCUGAAACUUUGAAGAGCAGGUUCUUUGCUGUGGCUGUGGGUUACCCACCAGAGGGCAACAUCACUCUCACACAAGAAAUAACGCAUACACUAUUUGAUCCAAAACUUGCCAAAAGCAAGAGUAAUCUUUUCUUUGGCCUUUACAGCUCUCUGUAAAUGCAGAUUUUUACUAUAUUUCAAUAUUAGCCUUGAAAUAAAAUGGGAGUGUGAUGGUGUUCUCAGGGUAUUGUUGGCAGCUAGCCUUAGGCAAAAGCUUCAAAAACUUCAAGUGCUGGCUAGAAACACAAUAACAAUUUUUGUUUUGUUAUUGGUUGAUACAGUGCUAAUAUCCUUAGUAGCCGUGACUAUCUGCAGUACAUUGUGAAUUGCAUAGCUUUGGUUUACUUUUAUCACUUUUAUCUGUUUUUCAAUAUGGGAGUGACUUUGCCUUCUCUGCAGAUGUUGAUGGGACCUACUGCUAUUGCCACUCAAUUUGGCCCUGUAUUCAGACACUAUGGGUGAAGGCACAGCUGAUGCUGGGUCACCUAGGGCUCCUGGCUCCUCCCUACAUGAGGCCCAGAACUGCUUGUGCUGCUCCCUCAGUGACAGAAUUUAUGCCCCAUGGGAAAUCCCAAUGAGAAAUUCAGUCAAAUCUUUUAGAGUGCUUUAAGUGAAGCACAGGAUUGUAAUAAAUCUUUGCAGGAUCACAGGCCUCAGUGAUGUAAAAAUGGGCAACCCUGAAAACAGAAACAUUUUUACGCAGCUUAACUGACUGAUAAGAAGCCUGCCUUUUAGAUAUCGUGGUCUACUAAAGAAAUGCCUUAUAGAGAUCAACUUAAAAGAACUCUGGAGGUCAAAAGACCAGGAGUUCAAAAGAAAAAUAUCAGGCUAUCCCACUUACUUUUACUGUACUUAGAAUUUGGGGAAUUGGGUGCUUUUUAAGCUAAUUUCAUGAGUUAUUGCAUUUUAACUCCUAAUGCUUGGAUAUCUGUGACUAGACAAACAUUACAGAUGACAGACAGUAAUAUUUAGUUGUGAGGCAAAAGGGGCAAACUGUCGUCGGUUUUUAAUUAAGCUUUACCCUCCAAGCAUCAAAACAACAAAUACACAGAAACAGUGGUAUGUAAACUUGAAAUUCUCUUGGUGAGGUAACAGUUCCCUCAGGAUACUUAUCUGUAUGAUAGCCAUUGUAUUGGAUGUGUUUAUUUUCUCCCAGUUUUUGUUUAUGAAAUACUACCCUUAGAUUAAUUUGGCAUUUAUUUUAGAUACUGUUAAUAAAAGAUGUGACUACAUACGUGAA